GACACGGCUAGUUUUUGCCCCCUCCUCUCUGUCACUCCUCUUGCCUCACUCACACACGCGCCUGGCCGCUCAAGCUGGCUAACCCCAAGCCUACACGCAUGAGACCUCUGACCUUGCUCCACUCCCCUCUCACCUCCCUCGCACGUGAACCAACCCCACAAGCACCCCGACUCAGCCUCUCCUUCUCAUGUGGCCUCUAGUAGAACCCCAUACCACGGCCAUGGGAUCCGGCCACGGUGCUCCGGCGCCAGACUAUAAGGGGCGCUCUCGAGGCCCCCUCACUACUUUCCUCUGUUCCCAGCAAGCCAAAUCGCCCCCUGCUCCACCCAAUCUUUCCUGGAGCUCCCGGUGCUCGGAAUCGAGCCGAGAACUGCCACCUCUGGUCGUCGGCUUUCACGGGCCCAAGCGAUUCGUUCGAGCUCCUCCCCACACCCUACACCGUGGUUGCUUGUCACCAGCGAUACCAUGCUCUCCGGCAAGCAACUCCGGCACCGACGGAAUGACAACUCAACCUCGAGCUUGCCGGUGCCCCCCUUUCGCCCCGCCAUGCCUAUGGCGUCGUCGUUGGCGAAGUAGACGGAGUGCUCAGAGUUGGAGUAGAAGCUUAUGAAGACCUCGAAGACUUUGCUGAACCAGGCAAGCAACCCCUUGACCAUGAGUUGAAACCUUUUUAUGCAUGUCAUAUGGCACUUUUCUUAUUUGCAUAUGAAUCAUGCUUGCAUCGAUCACCACAUUAGUGGGUUGUCUCCGUUAACUCCUCGUUGAUACUUGUACUGAGCAUGACCCUACCUUCCUAUGAGGGUUGUGCGGGUGGAAAGUAGUUGGGAUGCAAGUAGUUGCUACGCUAAUGGGUUGGGAAUAUGCAUGGUAUCACAAAAGAAAUUAUUUCAAAGACUUUUUGAAAACUUCCUCGGGUGCCACUAAUGCCCGAGGGAGAUGAUGUGGAUCUAGGUAACCACUUGAGAAAGAAGUGGUGUACCGAGGCAAAUGAGUGUGUGGUUUUGAAACAACUUAGAUUUAAGAUUUGUCGACCGUUCCAACCUUACAUGUACAACCAUAAUACGCCUUAUGAGAUGGGCCCCUCUUUAUUACUGUGGUCGGUACUUGCUGAGAGCCUGCAUUACUAGUAGCAGACACUCUCAAUAUGGGAUCAUACCGAAAAGGACAACCUUGGGCUGUUCUUACAGAUAUCAGGCACGCCAAUGCAUGCCCUCAUGGAUGAUACUUGUGAUGUACAUCACGAGGGAUGGCACCAACAAGUGGAUUCUUUGUUAGUAUCUUCAUGGUAAAGGAAUUGUUCGGGUACUUACCUCGGGUACGAAAAAUACCGUGAGUCGUGGAUUGACAUGGAAGUUUCCCGAAUCUUGUGGGAAAGUGUGCAACACCGCAGAGUGUAAAACCAUUUGAAUAGCCAUGUCCGCGGUCAAGGAUAGUUGGGUGGUGCUGUUAAACUAUGUCCAAGUGUUUUCAAAAACUUGGUGUGUGUAUGUGUGUGUGUGUGUGUAUGUGAACGAUGAUACUUGAGCCAAGUCAGAGGACUUGACAUGAUAAAUGAAGUUGAGAUGUUCAACCCCUA